ACGGAUCUGGUUUUCCUACGGCUUUCCAUGCUGGUCACCUUCCUGCGGUCGCUAUACAUGCUGCACUGCCGCUGCGCUUGCUGGCGAUACUACUGCCAGCCGCCAAACCAAUCACAAAUGCACAAGAUGCUUUUAGCCACACACGACACGUUACAUGUACGGCCCAAGCCCUCCCAAGCACCUGCCAACCCCGCCACCCA
rnacentral:lncRNA from 1 species